rnacentral:rRNA from 1 species
ACGAACGCUGGCGGCGUGCUUAACACAUGCAAGUCGAACGAGGGUCCGGCUUCGGCCGGAUUCCUAGUGGCGGACGGGUGAGUAACGCGUGGGAACCUGCCCAACAGUGGGGAAUAACAGCGGGAAACCGCUGCUAAUACCGCAUACGUCCUUCGGGAGAAAGGCUUCGGCCGCUGUUGGAUGGGCCCGCGUCCGAUUAGCUAGUUGGUGAGGUAACGGCUCACCAAGGCGACGAUCGGUAGCUGGUCUGAGAGGACGACCAGCCACACGGGGACUGAGACACGGCCCAGACUCCUACGGGAGGCAGCAGUGGGGAAUAUUGGACAAUGGGGGAAACCCUGAUCCAGCGACGCGGCGUGAGUGAAGAAGGCCUUAGGGUUGUAAAGCUCUUUCGCCGGGAAAGAUGAUGACGGUAGCCGGAGAAGAAGCCCCGGCUAACUCCGU